rnacentral:rRNA from 1 species
UACGUUCCCGGGUCUUGUACACACCGCCCGUCACACCACGAAAGUCGGCAACACCCGAAGCCGGUGGCCUAACCCGCAAGGGAGGGAGCCGUCGAAGGUGGGGCUGGCGAUUGGGGUG